UCCGAUUGAUCCCGUCGGACCUUACUGCUAUCGAGAUGGGACUAAACCAGGCCAGUCGAACGACCCGGAUUAUGGUGGGGAGUGGCGCACUGCUCAGUAACACGUAGCUAACCUAACCUCAAGACGGAAAUAACCCCGGGAAACUGGGGUCAAUGUCCGAUAGAUGUGAAUUCCUGGAAUGGUGUCACAUCCAAACGUCAACACACCAUGUUGUGCGAACGCUUGAGGAUGGGGCUGCGGCCGAUCAGGCUGUUGGUGGGGUAAUGGUCCACCAAACCUUUGACCGGUAUGGGCCAUGAGAGUGGUAGCCCAGAGAUGGACACUGAGACAAGGGUCCAGGCCCUACGGGGCGCAGCCGGUACGAAACCUCCACAAUGCACGCAAGUGCGAUGGGGUUAUCUCGAGUGCUAUCUGAAAAAGGUAGCUUUUCCAUGGUCUAAAUAGCCGUGGGAAUAAGGGGGGGGCAAGACUGGUGUCAGCCGCCGCGGUAACACCAGCCCCCCGAGUGGUAGGGAUGUUUAUUUGGCCUAAAGCGUCCGUAGCCGGCUAAGUAAAUUUCUCGUUAAAUCCAACGUCCUAAGUGUUGGGCUGCGAGAAAGACUGCUUAGCUAGAGGGUGGGAGAGGUCAGCGGUAUUUUUGGGGUAGGGGCGAAAUCCAUUGAACCCAGGAGGAUUAUUAGUGGUGAAGGCUGCUGACUAGAACACGCCUGACGGUGAGGGACGAAAGCUGGGGUAGCGAAUCGGAUUAGAUACCCGAGUAGUCCCAGCCGUAAACGAUGCAGACUAGGUGUUGGGUUGGCCACGCGCCGACUCAGUGCCACAGGGAAGCCAUUAAGUCUGCCGCCUGGGAAGUACGGCCGCAAGGCUGAAACUUAAAGGAAUUGGCGGGGGAGCACCACCAGGCGUGAAGCCUGCGGUUUAAUUGGAGUCAACGCCGGGAACCUUACCGGGAGCGACAGCAGAGUGAAGGCCAGGCUAAAGGUCUUGCCAGACGAGCUGAGAGGAGGUGCAUGGCCGUCGCCAUUUCGUGCCGUGAGGUGUCCUCUUAAGUGAGGUAACGAACGAGACCCGCGCCGCAUGUUGCUAACAAGUCCUAAAGGGAUGUUGAGUAUUUUUGCGGGACCGCAGCCGACAAGGCUGAGGAAGGUGCGGGCAACGGCAGGUCAGUAUGCCCCGAAUCUCCCGGGCCACACGCGGGCUGCAAUGUAGAGACAGAGGGCUGCAACCCCGAAAGGGGAAGCCAAUCCCUAAACUCUACCUCAGUUGGGAUUGAGGGCUGCAACCCGCCCUCAUGAACAUGGAAUGCCUAGUAACUGCCAGUCAUCAUCUGGCGGUGAAUACGUCCCUGCUCCUUGCACACACUGCCCGUCGAACCACCCGAAUGAGGUUGGGGUGAGGCAUGAUCGAAUGUUGGUCGUGUCGAACCUGGGCCUCGUAAGGAGGGUUAAGUCGUAACAAGGUG
rnacentral:rRNA from 1 species